GAUGAACGCUAGCGGGAGGCCUAACACAUGCAAGCCGAGCGGUAUAGAAUCUUCGGAUUUUAGAGAGCGGCGUACGGUGCGGAACACGUGUGCAACCUACCUUUAUCUGGAGGAUAGCCUUUCGAAAGGAAGAUUAAUACUCCAUAAUAUAUUGAUUGGCAUCAAUUAAUAUUGAAAGCUCCGGCGGAUAGAGAUGGGCACGCGCAAGAUUAGUUAGUUGGUGAGGUAACGGCUCACCAAGACGAUGAUCUUUAGGGGCCUGAGAGGUGAUCCCCCACACUGGUACUGAGACACGGACCAGACUCCUACGGGAGGCAGCAGUGAGGAAUAUUGGACAAUGGGUGCAAGCCUGAUCCAGCCAUCCCGCGUGAAGGACGACUGCCCUAUGGGUUGUAAACUUCUUUUGUAUAGGGAUAAACCUCUCCUCGUGAGGAGAGCUGAAGGUACUAUACGAAUAAGCACCGGCUAACUCCGUGCCAGCA
rnacentral:rRNA from 1 species